rnacentral:tRNA from 1 species
GUCAUCUUAGUUUAACUGGAUAGAACGCGAGCCCGCUAAGCCUGAGGUAGUGGUUCAAUCCCACUAGAUGGCA